rnacentral:tRNA from 1 species
GCCUGGGUGGCUCAGUCAGUUAAGCGUCCGACUUCGGCUUGGGUCAUGAUCUCGCGGUCCGUGGGUUCGAGCCCCGCAUCGGGCU